rfam:Geobacillus sp. CAMR12739 Contig14, whole genome shotgun sequence.
CGUUGCUCGGGAGUGAGGGAGGAAUUGGCUCAAUGAACUCCGACAACCUGCCGCCUAUAGCAAAGUGCCAAUUCCAGCUAAAGAAGAUCUUUAGUAAAAUAAGGG